GAUGAAGAACGUAGCGUAAUGCGAUACGUAGUGUGAAUUGCAGAAUUCAGUGAAUCAUCGAAUCUUUGAACGCACAUUGCACCUCUCGGUAUUCCGGGAGGUAUGCCUGUUCGAGCGUCAUUUGUACCCUCAAGCUCUGCUUGGUGUUGGGUGUUUGUUCCGCCUCUGUGUGUGAACUCGCCUCAAAACAAUUGGCAGCCGGCGUACUUGUUUCGGAGCGCAGCACAUUUUGCGAUCCAGAUCAACGUACAGCGGCAUCCAAGAAGCCUUAUUUAACGCUCUUGACCUCGGAUCAGGUAGGGAUACCCGCUGAACUUAAGCAUAUCAAUAAGCGGAGGA
rnacentral:misc_RNA from 1 species